GACGAACGCUGGCGGCGUGCCUAAUACAUGCAAGUAGAACGCUGAAGGAGGAGCUUGCUUCUCUGGAUGAGUUGCGAACGGGUGAGUAACGCGUAGGUAACCUGCCUGGUAGCGGGGGAUAACUAUUGGAAACGAUAGCUAAUACCGCAUAAGAGUAGAUGUUGCAUGACAUUUGCUUAAAAGGUGCAAUUGCAUCACUACCAGAUGGACCUGCGUUGUAUUAGCUAGUUGGUGAGGUAACGGCUCACCAAGGCGACGAUACAUAGCCGACCUGAGAGGGGGAUCGGCCACACUGGGACUGAGACACGGCCCAGACUCCUACGGGAGGCAGCAGUAGGGAAUCUUCGGCAAUGGACGGAAGUCUGACCGAGCAACGCCGCGUGAGUGAAGAAGGGUUUCGGAUCGUAAAGCUCUGUUGUAAGAGAAGAACGAGUGUGAGAGUGGAAAGUUCACACUGUGACGGUAUCUUACCAGAAAGGGACGGCUAACUACGUG
rnacentral:rRNA from 1 species